GUGCCAGUGAGAGAAGAUUUGGCCUUGGUGAAAGCAGGGAACCAACAGAAGGCAGCCUCCCGAAAGGAUGAUUUGUUAGAAACUCAGCCAGUUGUGGGUUUCUCCCCAAUGGAGAACAUGACACGGCCCAUUCUUUGGCAUGUAUGCAGGUGUGUGCACAAGACUUUACAUAGAAAAUGGAAAUGGUGCUGUAACAGGAUCAGGGUAAUUGAUUUUAAUUUCAAGGUUUUUCUGGGAUAUCAUUUAGCUUCUGAUGAAAUAUAACAAUAAUUAUUAUAUAUCAUAUUAUUAUAUAAUAAUAAUUAUUAUAAUUAAUUAAAUAAUAUAAAGCAAAGAUACUUAAAUAAGGCUUUAUAUUAAAUUGUCCAAACACUCAUUUAAUUUCAAUUCAAUGGAUCAUGUUGGCAUGUUAGCAAAAUAACAAUUAUUACAAAUAUGUUAUGUAAGUUGAAUGGUGAUGAGAUGUAUACAUACAUUGCAUCGCUUCAAAACUGCUGGGAGAAUAGGAUAAAAAUACCUCCUAUUAAUAGUUGCUUGAAUUUCAGAACAAAUACACUUUGUCCAUGCUAUCGUCUCUUCUGUGAGGAAGAUCUAUGAAUAUCCAAGUAUCCCUAAACCUCCAACUGCCAGGAGAAGGGACUGGAUGAUAGAGGAUGAUCACUCAAAAUUACCCUGUUCUGUCCACUCCCUCUGAAGCGUCUGGCACUGGCCACUGUCAGAAGAUAGGAUACUGGGCUAGAUGGGCCAUUGAUCUGAUCCAGUCUGGCCAUUCUUAUGUUCCUAUCUAACCAACUGAGGUUUUUUGCACAAAUCUUUGCAGAAACAGAAUUUGAAAGUCAUGUGUCUUUUCAUGCUGGAAGUACCUGCACCCUGAUUCAUUGAAGGGGAAAAAUACCACAGUCAAGCACUGUUAGUGCCUUUAUCUUUUGGUUAUUGUUCAUGGGGCUGGUCCAGCCAGAAUAUAACAAUCACUAAUGGCAUUUUGAUGGGUAACUGGCCCAUAGAAAAGAAGACGAGGGAGCCAGCAUGCCAAAAUUCAGAUAACAGCUGGAACAAGAAGUCAAGCUGUGAAACAUGCAAAUGUUGCAUCAUCUGGCUUCUUGGCAGACCACUCAGAACAAAGACACCCUGUCUCCUGGAGCUCCUGCCUCACAGUCACUACACAUUAGGUAAGGUUUACACAGCUCAAGCUUCAGAAACAACGAAACAGCUAAUUCCACUGGAUGCUAUUCCCCACUGCCCUGUGGUUCACUAAGGUGUGAGAUCAGCUGAUAAGAGACAGCUUCAGCUACAUUCUGGCCAUCUGAUGAAACCAGGCCCCCGGUAUCCUGAUUUGUCACCAACAUCCACUAGUCACAAUUUUCCGUCAUAACAACAUGCACCUGAUCAGCCAUUCAAAUCAAGCAGGCCAACAGCAGGUUUUGCAGUAGACCCUAACACCCACAUUUACUACCAUCUGAAGAAGAAUGACCACUUCUGUCCAUCACUAAGACCAGCCCUUCAAUCUAGGCCAUUUUCAUAGACAGCUUGACUCAAAUUCCAUUGAAGUCAGUAGAGAGACUCUCACUGAAUCACAUCUAGAAUGUCUGCAGAUGGACUCCAUCUUAAAGAAAGAGAGCUGGAUAAGGCAAGGAGAGAAGAGAUGCACAUGUGCGGUCACCAAGUGGAUUUGGGUGAAGAGAUGUGCAGAGAGUGCGGAAUGAGAAAUGAGAGAAAAGGAAGGCAAAACUGAGGAGAAGCUUGAAAGAGAAAAUGAAUGAGUGAGUGAGAGUGAAACAGAAAAAGAGGAAUGGAGGGAGAGUGGAGAAAAAAGAGACAGGAUGAUGAAAGAAGAGAUAUGCCAAUAUGCAACAUAAGGAAAGAAAAAGUGAAGAAAAGAUGAGUAGCAAGUGAGACCCCAAACGAUACAUAUUUUAUUAUUUAAAACAAGGUUUUUAGCCAUAAUGUUACAAUACUAAGGAUGCUUGAUUUUUGUAGACAAACUGGGUAUGUUCAUCUUCAGGAGUGACCUGGCUGAAAUACUACCUGAGAGACGAAAGUAGCAAAUGUUUUAAUCUUGUCAGGGAAAGGAAUGGCUUCAAGGGGUCCUAUUGGGUAGAGUACACUGAAGAAGAGCUUGAUUCAGUUUUAUUCCUAAGAGGGAAGUAGCAGCACUAGCCCUCCGCUUUGAUGUAGCCUGUGGAAACUGAUGUUUUAGGACAGUCUGACAUCAAUUAAAGCCCCACGCUGCACAAAUUAAAACCUGCUUUUCUUCACUAAUUUCCUUGGCUUAUACUAUUUUCAAAAUCAUGCAGUUCAAACACAUACAACAGCCAAAUAAGACUGUCAUCCCCAACUGUCUUAAAUAUAACAGUUUUCCCUACACUACUGUCUGAAAUAAACAGAUCUAGAGCUUGUUUACUGAGCA
ensembl:lncRNA